GGGGGCGAGAGGCCCGCCAGCCUCCUGGCCCCCCAGCGCCCCUGCCUGCUGUGUACCUGGAGACUCAAACUGAGGCUGUUCGGAGAAAGCGAGGACGUGAGGACGUUUUGCUUUUGCACAUCGGAUGGCAGUGGGUCAGCGCCAGGCUGCGGUCUCCCUGCAAGAUUCCCCAGGGACCCACUGGAAAAGAAUGAGCCUGGAUGCUUAGAAGUCUAUUCCCUCUCUGGGCAGCCAGGCAAGCGCUGACCUGACCUCAGCUUCCAAACCACUGGCGGUUUACUGCUUCAGGGUGUAUGGCCUGAGGAAAGCCUGG